rnacentral:lncRNA from 1 species
GCCUGCGCUCUGCAAACCCAGACAUCACCUGGUGCCACUGCAGACAAGAAGGCAUAGCAGUUGCCCAGCCAGUGGUCCAAGGAACUGCCAUCUGGGCUUUCUUUCUGAUACGUUGAGAGAAAAUUAGAGAAAGCCUGGAUGAUCUGUGGCAGGUGUUCUUUUUGCCUGGUACAUACAUAGGUCACUGCCUCAGCCUGAUGUCUCACAAACACUUGGAUGUAGUCCGCAACUCCCUUCCUAAUCUGUGUCCCUGACAGCACCCAUGCCAACGCCCUGAGCAGCAACAGUUCUAUUGAAUACUUUGGGUGAGCCUUGAGCAGAACAUUGCAUUUGCUCACCACCUCCUCUGAGCAUCCCCGCCUGAGCAGGGCCUCCAGUUUAUAUAUUGAGGACAGCACGUUGUCAGGACUUAAGGUGGAGAGAAAGACAGCGGCUAUUUCCACUCUGAGCGAUGCGAUGGCCACGUUCUUGCUCUGGAUCUUGGGAAUCUGGCUCUUACCCCUGCACCACAUCUCCAAGGUGGCAAUGACUCUCUCCCAGAGCCCGUUCUCCAAGGAGUUCACUUUCUGCAGGGCUGUGGGAGCACUGCAGCUGAAGGCGGCCACGUAGAAAGCCGUGGCUGUGGGCAGCUCCUGCUGGGCGAGGUGCUGGUCCCCUUCUCUGCAGAGCAGCGCGGCGAGCCCCUGAGGUGACAUUGCCAGCACCUGUAUCUUCAGCAAGGAGCCUCACACGAGCAUCUACAACAGCCUGUAAAACAAAAUCAGCGUGAGGGGCUGCUGAGCACAAUUUCUCUGCAUUUGGGGCACACAGCUUCCCUAAGGACAGACACAAACCAAAGAACCGGACGUUCUUACUGGGGAGCAAAGCCACGAGAAGAAGAAACAACACAGGUUAACAGUCCGCAUCCGCACGGCAGCACCACGAGUGAGCAGGAAGGAUGAGGCCGAGCGCAGAGCAUGAUGAAAAAACCCUGAGCCUACACUCGGCCUUGCCAGUCGCUGUUUCCUGUCACUUGCGAUGGCCUCUUCCCAGGACGGAUAUUUCUGGUGAUGUCAAUGAAGUUACCUGUGUGCAACGCUGGAGUAAUCCAUCGCAGG